AACGAACGCUGGCGGCAUGCCUAACACAUGCAAGUCGAACGAUGCCUUCGGGCAUAGUGGCGCACGGGUGAGUAACGCGUGGGAACCUGCCCUGUGGUACGGAAUAACUCCGGGAAACUGGAGCUAAUACCGUAUGUGUCCCUUGGGACAAAGAUGUAUGGCCACGGGAUGGGCCUGCGUAGGAUUCGCCUGUUGGUGGGGUAACGGCCUACCAAGGCUACGAUCCUUAGCUGGUCUGAUAGGAUGAUUAACCACACUGGGACUGAGACACGGCCCAGACUCCUACGGGAGGCAGCGGUGGGGAAUAUUGGACAAUGGGCGCAAGCCUAGUCCAGCAGUGCCGCGUGAGUGAUGAAGGGCUUCGGGUUGUAAAGCUCUUUCGGACGCGACGAUAAUGACGGUAGCGGGAGAAGAAGCCCCGGCUAACUUCGUG
rnacentral:rRNA from 1 species